GACAAAUGCUAACAAUGUCUUAUCAGCAGUUAAGCAAGUAGCAAGUAACGUUUCAGCAGCAUUUAAUGCAGCUGUCUACGGUCUACAACUAAGUGUUUUAGCUGCUUAAUCGUCUUUACGAUUACAUUUCAUCGUGUUGCCUACCUAGGAGCACCGCUGAGAUGGUCAAUUCUUAGGUUAUAGGUAAUCUGUUCUGAUAGCGGACUAACCCGAAACUUUUUAUCAGGGGGAUACAAUUCUUUUUACCUGUCUUUUAUAAUGUACUCUCCUUAGAAGUAAGAUAGGUUAUGUUUGUAGAAUGGUAUAUGGGUGUGCUUUUGGACAUGGGUUCAAUUCCCGUCGUCUCCACCA
rnacentral:tmRNA from 1 species